rnacentral:rRNA from 1 species
AGUGAACGCUGGCGGUAGGCCUAACACAUGCAAGUCGAACGGCAACACAGUAAGAGCUUGCUCUUACGGGUGGCGAGUGGCGGACGGGUGAGGAAUACAUCGGAAUCUACUUUUUCGUGGGGGAUAACGUGGGGAAACUUACGCUAAUACCGCAUACGAUCUACGGGUGAAAGCAGGGGAUCUUCGGACCUUGCGCGACUGAAUGAGCCGAUGUCGGAUUAGCUAGUUGGCGGGGUAAAGGCCCACCAAGGCGACGAUCCGUAGCUGGUCUGAGAGGAUGAUCAGCCACACUGGAACUGAGACACGGUCCAGACUCCUACGGGAGGCAGCAGUGGGGAAUAUUGGACAAUGGGCGCAAGCCUGAUCCAGCCAUACCGCGUGAGUGAAGAAGGCCUUCGGGUUGUAAAGCCCUUUUGUUGGGAAAGAAAAGCAGCAGGUUAAUACCCCGCUGUUCUGACGGUACCCAAAGAAUAAGCACCGGCUAACUUCGUG